rnacentral:rRNA from 1 species
UUUUGACCUCGAAUCAGGUAGGGAUACCCCCUAAACUUAA